UACGUAGGUGGCAAGCGUUUGUCCGGAAUUAUUGGGCGUAAAGCGCGCGCAGGCGGUCCUUUAAGUCUGAUGUGAAAGCCCACGGCUCAACCGUGGAGGGUCAUUGGAAACUGGGGGACUUGAGUGCAGAAGAGGAAAGCGGAAUUCCACGUGUAGCGGUGAAAUGCAUAGAGAUGUGGAGGAACACCAGUGGCGAAGGCGGCUUUCUGGUCUGUAACUGACGCUGAGGCGCGAAAGCGUGGGGAGCAAACAGG
rnacentral:rRNA from 1 species